rnacentral:rRNA from 1 species
AAUAUUGGACUAUGGGCGAAAGCCUGAUCCAGCCAUGCCGCGUGUGUGAAGAAGGUCUUCGUAUUGUAAAGCACUUUAAGUUGGGAGGAAGGGCAGUAUGUUAAUACCUUGCUGUUUUGACGUUACCGUCAGAAUAAGCACCGGCUAACUUCGUGCCAGCAGCCGCGGUAAUACGUAGGGUGCAAGCGUUAAUCGGAAUUACUGGGCGUAAAGCGUGUGUAGGCGGUUCUGAAAGAAAGAUGUGAAAGCCCCGGGCUCAACCUGGGAACUGCUUUAAAAACUGGCAAGCUAGAGUAUGGCAGAGGGUGGUGGAAUUUCCUGUGUAGCGGUGAAAUGCGUAGAUAUAGGAAGGAACAUCAGUGGCGAAGGCGACUACCUGGACUGAUACUGACACUGAGGUGCGAAAGCGUGGGGAGCAAACAGG